rnacentral:rRNA from 1 species
UACGUAGGUGGCAAGCGUUUGUCCGGAUUUACUGGGCGUAAAGAGCGCGCAGGCGGUUGGAUAAGUCGAAUGUGAAAGCCCCCGGCUCAACUGGGGAGGGUCACGCGAUACUGAUCGACUCGAAGGCAGGAGAGGGAAGUGGAAUUCCCGGUGUAGUGGUGAAAUGCGUAGAUAUUUGGGAGGAACACCAGUGGCGAAGGCGGCUCACUGGACCGGAACUGACGCUGAGGCGCGAAAGCGUGGGGAGCAAACAGG